rnacentral:rRNA from 1 species
AUUGAACGCUGGCGGCAGGCCUAACACAUGCAAGUCGAGCGGAUGAGGAGAGCUUGCUCUCUGAUUUAGCGGCGGACGGGUGAGUAAUGCCUAGGAAUCUGCCUGGUAGUGGGGGAUAACGUUCCGAAAGGAACGCUAAUACCGCAUACGUCCUACGGGAGAAAGCAGGGGACCUUCGGGCCUUGCGCUAUCAGAUGAGCCUGGGUCGGAUUAGCUAGUUGGUGAGGUAAUGGCUCACCAAGGCGACGAUCCGUAACUGGUCUGAGAGGAUGAUCAGUCACACUGGAACUGAGACACGGUCCAGACUCCUACGGGAGGCAGCAGUGGGGAAUAUUGGACAAUGGGCGAAAGCCUGAUCCAGCCAUGCCGCGUGUGUGAAGAAGGUCUUCGGAUUGUAAAGCACUUUAAGUUGGGAGGAAGGGUUGUAGAUUAAUACUCUGCAAUUUUGACGUUACCAACAGAAUAAGCACCGGCUAACUUCAUGCCAGCCGCCGCGGUAAUAC